AUUGAACGCUGGCGGCAUGCCUAACACAUGCAAGCCGAACGUGAAAGAGGGGCAACUCUCGAGUAAAGUGGCGGACGGGUGAGUAAUACGUAGGAAUCUGCCCUAAAGUGGGGGAUAACCUGCCGAAAGGCGGGCUAAUACCGCAUAAUCUCUACGGAGAAAAGGCGGCUAGCAAUAGCCUUCGCUUUAGGAUGAGCCUACGUCGGAUUAGCUAGUUGGUAGGGUAAAGGCCUACCAAGGCAACAAUCCGUAGCUGGUCUGAGAGGACGAUCAGCCACGCUGGAACUGAGACACGGUCCAGACUCCUACGGGAGGCAGCAGUGGGGAAUAUUGGACAAUGGGGGAAACCCUGAUCCAGCAAUGCCACGUGUGCGAUGAAGGCCUGCGGGUUGUAAAGCACUUUCGGUGAGGAAGAAACGCUCAAAUAUAAUACAUUUGAGAACUGACGUUACUCACAGAAGAAGCACCGGCAAACUCUGUGCCAGCCGCCGCGGUAA
rnacentral:rRNA from 1 species